rnacentral:rRNA from 1 species
UGGGUAACCUGCCUCAAAGAGGGGAAUAGCCUCCCGAAAGGGAGAUUAAUACCGCAUAAUAUGUUUAAUCGCAUGACUUUAACAUCAAAGGAUUCUCUCCGGAGAUUCCACUUUGAGAUGGACCCGCGGCGCAUUAGCUAGUUGGUGAGGUAACGGCUCACCAAGGCAACGAUGCGUAGCCGACCUGAGAGGGUGAUCGGCCACAUUGGAACUGAGACACGGUCCAGAUCCUACGGG